rnacentral:rRNA from 1 species
CCUACGGGAGGCAGCAGUAGGGAAUAUUGCUCAAUGGGGGAAACCCUGACGCAGCAACGCCGCGUGGGGGAUGAAGGUUUUCGGAUUGUAAACCUCUGUUGUUAGAGAAGAAAAUGACGUUAUCUAACUAAUAAGCACCGGCUAACUCCGUGCCAGCAGCCGCGGUAAUACGGAGGGUGCAAGCGUUACUCGGAAUUACUGGGCGUAAAGAGCGCGUAGGCGGGAUCGCAAGUCAGAUGUGAAAUCCUAGGGCUUAACCAUAGAACUGCAUUUGAAACUGUGAAUCUAGAGUGUGGUAGAGGUAAGUGGAAGUCUUGGUGUAGGGGUGAAAUGCGUAGAGAUCAAGAGGAAUACUCGUUGCGAAGGCGACCUGCUAGAACAUAACUGACGCUGAGGCGCGAAAGCGUGGGGAGCAAACAGGAUUAGAUACCCCAGUAGUC